rnacentral:rRNA from 1 species
GUAGGGUGCGAGCGUUAAUCGGAAUUACUGGGGCGUAAAGCGUGCGCAGGCGGCUUUGCAAGACAGAUGUGAAAUCCCCCAGGGCUCAACCUGGGGAACUGCAUUUGUGACUGCAAGGCUAGAGUACGGCAGAGGGGGAUGGAAUUCCGCGUGUAGCAGUGAAAUGCGUAGAUAUGCGGAGGAACACCGAUGGCGAAGGCAAUCCCCUGGGCCUGUACUGACGCUCAUGCACGAAAGCGUGGGGAGCAAACAGGAUUAGAUACCCUGGUAGUCCACGCCCUAAACGAUGUCAACUGGUUGUUGGACGGCUUGCUGUUCAGUAACGAAGCUAACGCGUGAAGUUGACCGCCUGGGGAGUACGGCCGCAAGGUUG